UACGUAGGUGGCAAGCGUUGUCCGGAAUUAUUGGGCGUAAAGCGCGCGCAGGUGGUUUCUUAAGUCUGAUGUGAAAGCCCACGGCUCAACCGUGGAGGGUCAUUGGAAACUGGGGAACUUGAGUGCAGAAGAGGAAAGUGGAAUUCCAAGUGUAGCGGUGAAAUGCGUAGAGAUUUGGAGGAACACCAGUGGCGAAGGCGACUUCUGGUCUGUAACUGACACUGAGGCGCGAAAGCGUGGGGGAGCGAACAGG
rnacentral:rRNA from 1 species